rnacentral:rRNA from 1 species
GAUGAACGCUGGCGGCGUGCCUAAUACAUGCAAGUCGAGCGAACAGAUGAGGAGCUUGCUCCUCUGACGUUAGCGGCGGACGGGUGAGUAACACGUGGAUAACCUACCUAUAAGACUGGGAUAACUUCGGGAAACCGGAGCUAAUACCGGAUAAUAUAUUGAACCGCAUGGUUCAAUAGUGAAAGACGGUUUUGCUGUCACUUAUAGAUGGAUCCGCGCCGCAUUAGCUAGUUGGUAAGGUAACGGCUUACCAAGGCAACGAUGCGUAGCCGACCUGAGAGGGUGAUCGGCCACACUGGAACUGGGACGCGGUCCAGACUCCUACGGGAGGCAGCAGUAGGGUAUCUGCCGCAAUGGGCGAAAGCCUGACGGAGCAACGCCGCGUGAGUGAUGAAGGUCCUCGGAUCGUAAAACUCUGUUAUGAGGGAAGAACAAAUGUGUAAGUAACUAUGCACGUCUUGACGGUACCUAAUCAGAAAGCCACGGCUAACUACGUG